rnacentral:tRNA from 1 species
GCCGGGGUGGCGAAAUGGUAGACGCGAGGGACUUAAAAUCCCUUAUCCGCAAAAUGGAUGUGCGGGUUCGAUUCCCGCCCCCGGCA